CCCGGACGAAAGUCGGACUAAUACUCCCAUAAUAGCCGAGGUGGCAUCACCUUGGUUUGAAAGCUCCGGCGGUACAGGAUGACCAUGCGCACGAUUAGCUAGUUGGUGAAGGUAACGGCUCACCAAGGCUACGAUCGUUAGGGGGCCUGAGAGGGGUUAUCCCCCCACACUGGUACUGAGACACGGACCAGACUCCUACGGGAGGCAGCAGUGAGGAAUAUUGCGCAAUGGAGGCAACUCUGACGCAGCCAUGCCGCGUGCAGGAAGAAGGCGCUACGCGUUGUAAACUGCUUUUAUCCGGGAAGAAACCCCAGGACGUGUCCUGGGUUGACGGUACCGGAGGAAUAAGCACCGGCUAACUUCGUG
rnacentral:rRNA from 1 species